AAUAAGGCCUGGGCAUAUUCGCUUUGAACCUGUUGGAAAAGAACAAGUUUCAAAGCAGAGUGAAGAAGAAAUGGAAAGUUUCAAGUGGAAUGGUAUGAUGAGCAAGAAAAAGGGACAGAAAUGGGGCCAAGAGAAAGUUUCAUUUCCCCAAAAGACUGAUUCUCUAGGUUCAAACAAAGAAUAUCCUGAUAUGAUGAGUCGUGAGAGACAGAAAUGGAUCCAAGAGAAAGACUCAUUUUCCCAAAAGAAUGAUUCCCUUAGUUCAAACAAAGAACAUCCUGAGAUAAUGAAUCGUAAAAGACAGAAAUGGGGCCAAGAGAAUAUUUCAUUUGCCCAAAAGAAUGAUUCUCCAGGUUCAAGCAAAGAACAUCCUGAUAUGAUGAACCGUGAGAGACAGAAAUGGAGCCAAGAGAAAAACUUGUUUUACCAAAAGAAUGAUUCUCUCGGUUCAAACAAAGAACAUCCCGAGAUAAUGAAUCGUAAUAGACAGAACUGGGGCGAAGAGAAUGUUUCAUUUUCCCAAAAGAAUGAUUCUCUAGAUUCAAACAAAAAACAUCCUGAGAUGUUGAAUGGUGAAAAGGACCCUCAUUUCAAUGGAUCAAUUGACUUCAAUACACUUCCUUUUCUUUCUGGCCAGCCCAAGGAAGGUCUUGUGAUUGCAUAUCGGCUGCUUGAGUUAUCAUCAACCUGGACCCCUGAAGUUUCCUCCUAUCGGGUUGGGAAAAUAUCAUCGUAUAAUUCUGAAGCAAAUAGAGUUUUGCUGAUGCCAGUAGCUGAAUUUCCAGUCAUUUGUACUGAGGAUGAGUCUUCAAAGCAACCAGAUAGCUCUAUUUAUAAUGAAGACGGAUCUUUGGAGAUAGAAUUUUCAGCGCUUCUUGAAGUUCGUCUGAUGAAUAGUACUCCAGAUCAAGGAGUACAUGAAGGGGUUAUUGAGGGUUCUGCUGCCAAUGAGUCCACUCCAGUGCUUGGAAGCAGUAAAAAGAAAAAUGAAACUCCAGUUCCUGGAGCUGGAGAAGUAAGCAAUGGAAAACAAACACGAUCUACCCCUUCAGAAAAUGGCGGAGUAAACCUGUGGGAGCAAUUCAGUGAUACUCUAAAGUCCAAGAAGGCAGAAUUAGCUCAGGAAAGUAAUUGGGAUAAGGCAAGUACUGGAAAGAGCCCUUGGUCAUAUCGACCCAUGAGAGGCACUGCGCUAGGCCCUACAAUGGCCUUCCUUAGAUCCCAAAAGAAAAUAUAAGAUGAAGUUGCAGUUGCAUAUUUUGUUCAUAUUAUCGUAUAUUAACCCGUUUCAUUCUCUUUAAGUUUUGCAAAAUUCUCACUAACGAGAGAAUUAACUAUGUUUUAACUUCUCGAUCAUGAAAUUACCCAGGAAGGUUUGCAGUGUAUAAUUGGAGUUGUUGAUGCACCCCUUUAUGUACUGUUUCUUAAAUUUUGGUUGCUUAUUAGUGUAAAGAAAUUAAAGGAUAUGAAAAGCUCUAUAUCUGCAUUCCAGUAAAA
rnacentral:misc_RNA from 1 species